GAUGAACGCUGGCGGCGUGCUUAACACAUGCAAGUCGAGCGAGAAGUUUUGAAAAGAUUCUUCGGAUGAAAUUUAAAAUGGAAAGCGGCGGACGGGUGAGUAACGCGUAGGCAACCUGCCCCAUACAAAGGGAUAGCAUUUGGAAACGAAUAUUAAUACCUUAUGAAACUUAACUAGUGCAUGCUAGGUAGGUCAAGGAUUUAUCGGUAUGGGAUGGGCCUGCGUCUGAUUAGCUAGUUGGUGAGGUAACGGCUCACCAAGGCGACGAUCAGUAGCCGACCUGAGAGGGUGAACGGCCACAUUGGAACUGAGACACGGUCCAAACACCUACGGGAGGCAGCAGUGAGGAAUAUUGCACAAUGGGGGAAACCCUGAUGCAGCAACGCCGCGUGAACGAUGAAGGCCUUUGGGUCGUAAAGUUCUGUUCUAGGUGAUGAAAACUGACAGUAACCUAGGAGAAAGCCCCGGCUAACUCCGUG
rnacentral:rRNA from 1 species